rnacentral:lncRNA from 1 species
UAAAGGCCAGUGGUAAACAGGACUUUGCAUUUGCAACACAUCAGGGUGCUGACAUCCUUUGCUUUUUAUGACGUCUCUGUUCUCUUUGUCCAUGCUAUAGCCAGCCACUUCCACUUAUUCAUAGUGGGCCCCAUCCUGGAGGAGUGGGGGAAAGAGGAUCCCCAGCCCCAGCCCCAUGGUAGUUGCACCUGGGAAAGUCAGAGCUUCCUGCUGGUUUGGAGGAGGUAGGCAGGUUGGAGAGAGUCCUUGCUAGAAUGAGGAGUAUUGGCAAAGCGUUGUCUUAUCAUAAGUGCUCUGUGUGGCUUAAGGACUCACAGAGCUGGAAGAGGAGAAAUACCAACUGGAUUAACUUUGCAAUUACAUGUGGAUGGCUUGAGCAGUUAAGUAACUUUAUGCAGCCCUUGCUCCAGGCUGCAAGAGCCUCCGUAAUGAGCUGGGUGAUGCUUUUAGGGCCUCUUUUCUGCAGGUGAGUUGGGCCCUGUUAGCCUGGGCAUGCUAGACAGUGUUGGGGCUUCUAGAGGCCAACACCCUCCAGUAGGGAUGAGCUGAGCAUGGGGAGAAAAUAGCCCUGGUGUGUGGCACUUCCAAGCCCCUCUAGGUUCAUGGUGCCUAGUGUCACUGUGCUCGUGGGAUCCCACUCAUCUGCAUUACAGCUCACACCUCAAGACACUUGGGAAGCAAGAGCCAUCUUCAUUCAUCAAGUACAGUGUUUUUUUUCUCCCCAAGACAGAGUCUUGCUCUGUCGCGUGGGCUGGAGUACAGUGAUGUGAUCUCAGAUCUCAGCUCACUGCAACCUCCAUCUCCUGGGUUCAAGCAGUUCUCCUGCCUCAUCCUCCCAAGUAGCUGGGAUUACAGGCACGUGCCACCAUGCCUGGCUAAUUUUUUUUAUAUUUUAGUAGUGACAGGGCUUCACCAUGUUGGCUGGGCUGGUCUCGAACUCCUGACCUCAAGUGAUCCACCUGCCUUAGCCUCCCAAAGUGCUGGGAUUACAGGCAUGAGACACCACGCCUGGCCAUCAUUGAGCACAAUAUUUUAAGUGCAUACCUGGUACCUGGUUUAGGGGCUUUUUAGUGCCGUGAAUGAGCUGUGUGUUCUUGGCUCUCCUGGGGCCUAUGAAAGCAGAAUGUCCCUCAAUCUAUUUUUUUAAAAUUUAGUUUUAGUCACUUUCACAAAAGUAAUUUAUCCUCCUUACGAUGUUUCACUUACCUGUGCAGAAUCCUCCUUCUGUUAGAACUGAUUGUUCUAAAUGACAUGCACCAAGUUGGAAGAUUAUACCUUUUGUCUUUUUAUUUCAACUGUUGAUCUGUAGAAAAUAUUGCUUUUUAGAUAAGGUAUCUAGAUGGCAACCUCACAGGAAAAUUAUAUGUUAGAAAUGUUUUCUUGAUGUUUACUUUUCAUUUUCUGAGUUUAAAAUUAUACAGUAUUCUUACAGUCAGGGAUAAGACUGGCUGCAGAGCCUGAUGGGAAGUAAUACACGGCUUGUGUUUACACUGGGCUGGCUUUCAUGAUUUACCCAUGUGCCUGGGAGGGGGAUGCACUUCAUUUGUGUAACUUUUUUUACUUAGGGUGGUGUUUUUAUAAUGCUAAAUGUUUGUUAUCGUGAAAAGAUGUUCUUAUUUAUUUUAAACAAGUGAAAGUGACAUAUAACUGAAACAGAUUUUCCACAAGGCUCAGCUUGUGUCCCUCUUUGUUGUGUCACAGUGACAGAGGCCCUUGCGCUACCUAGUGGUGCUGGCAUUUGAGGGGCGGGGCUCUGGGUAGCAUGGCUGGUUUGCAGCUCUCUGGUAACUUCUUGGUGAGGGUGUCAACCUACAGAAUGUGAGUGGAAGGACAAGGCCCGCACUUCCACCUUCCCCCUGAAAGCUGUGUCACUCUGAGGGACUGUUUAACCUCCUCAUCCCUCAUGACUACGGAGAUGACUGGAUUGCAGGGUUUUAUGAGAUAAUUAGAGACCAGGAGUAACAGCAUCAGUGGAGGGCCUGUCACAGUUCCUAUUUUUUUCAAUUUUUCUCAUUAUAAAAUAUUGUUAUUUUCCCAUUAUUGUUUUUCUGCCAGUAUUCCAUCAUUCUGGACCAAGAAUAUAUAAUAGAUGUGCAACUCUAUCCAGACACCUGUUUUUACAAAGACUUGCACUGCCUUUCCAGUAGGAAAUAUUACUGCUACCAUUCUGUUUUCUUAUGGUAAAAAUGCGGCCAGU